UGCGCCGUGCCUAAUACAUGCAAGUCGAGCGAGCUGAACUAACUGAUUCGCUUCGCUGAUGACGUUGGAAACGCGAGCGGCGGAUGGCUGAGUAUCACGUCGGGAACCUGCCCCAUAGUCUGGGAUACCACUUGGAACCAGGUGCUAAUACCGGAUAAGAAAGCAGAUCGCUUGAUCAGCUUAUAAAAGGCGGCGUAAGCUGUCGCUAUGGGAUGGCCCCGCGGUGCAUUAGCUAGUUGGUAGGGUAACGGCCUACCAAGGCAAUGAUGCAUAGCGGAGUUGAGAGACUGAUCGGCCACAUUGGGACUGAGACACGGCCCAAACUCCUACGGGAGGGAGCAGUAGGGAAUCUUCCACAAUGGACGAAAGUCUGAUGGAGCAACGCCGCGUGAGUGAAGAAGGUUUACGGAUCGUAAAGCUCUGUUGUUGGUGAAGAAGGAUAGAGGUAGUAACUGGCCUUUAUUUGACGGUAAUCAACCAGAAAGUCACGGCUAACUACGUGCCAGCAGCCGCGGUAAUACGUAGGUGGCAAGCGUUGUCCGGAUUUAUUGGGCGUAAUGCGAGCGCAGUCGGAAGAAUAAGUCUGAUGUGAAAGCCCUCGGCUUAACCGAGGAACUGCAUCGGAAACUGUUAUUCUUGAGUGCAGAAGAGGAGAGUGGAACUCCAUGUGUAGCGGUGGAAUGCGUAGAUAUAUGGAAGAACACCAGUGGCGGAGGCGGCUCUCUGGUCUGCAACUGACGCUGAGGCUCGAAAGCAUGGGUAGCGAACAGGAUUAGAUACCCUGGUAGUCCAUGCCGUAAACGAUGAGUGCUAAGUGUUGGGAGGUUUCCGCCUCUCAGUGCUGCAGCUAACGCAUUAAGCACUCCGCCUGGGGAGUACGACCGCAAGGUUGAAACUCAAAGGAAUUGACGGGGGCCCGCACAAGCGGUGGAGCAUGUGGUUUAAUUCGAAGCAACGCGAAGAACCUUACCAGGUCUUGACAUCUAGUGCAAUCCGUAGAGAUACGGAGUUCCCUUCGGGGACACUAAGACAGGUGGUGCAUCGCUGUCGUCAGCUCGUGUCGUGAGAUGUUGGGUUAAGUCCCGCAACGAGCGCAACCCUUGUCAUUAGUUGCCAGCAUUAAGUUGGGCACUCUAAUGAGACUGCCGGUGACAAACCGGAGGAAGGUG
rnacentral:rRNA from 1 species